GUGCCAGCAGCCGCGGUAAUACGGGGGGGGCGAGCGUUGUCCGAAGUUACUGGGCGUAAAGGGCGCGUAGGCGGGACGAUAAGUCUGCUGUGAAAGCCCGGGGCUUAACCCCGGAGGGUCGGUGGAUACUGUCGUUCUUGAAGGUGCUAGGGGGAGGUGGAAUUGCCGGUGUAGCGGUGAAAUGCGUAGAUAUCGGUAGGAACACCCGUGGCGAAGGCGGCCUCCUGGGGUACUCUUGACGCUGAGGCGCGAAAGCUGGGGGAGCGAACGGGAUUAGAUACCCCGGUAGUCC
rnacentral:rRNA from 1 species